rnacentral:rRNA from 1 species
UGAGGAAUCUGUCCAUCGGCGGGGGAUAGCCGGCCCAACGGCCGGGUAAUACCGCGUACGUCGGCGGGAGCGCAUGCUCCUGCCGGGAAAGCAGCAAUGCACCGAUGGAGGAUCUCGCGGCCUAUCAGCUUGUUGGUGAGGUAACGGCUCACCAAGGCUUCGACGGGUAGCCGGCCUGAGAGGGCGACCGGCCACACUGGGACUGAGACACGGCCCAGACUCCUACGGGAGCAG